rnacentral:lncRNA from 1 species
AGACGGGACAACGACCAGGGACAGCGAGCAGACAGGAGCCCUAAGGCUUAUUACUCUUUAGGAGUAUCAGUCAGCUGGUUGCUGCCGCUGCUACAACCGACCCAGCCACAGCUGGAAUACCCUCAACCUGGGCAGUGACUACUGUGCUCUACACAGUCAGCGGCUGAAGGGCAGUCUCGUGCCAGCCAUUGAAAAUGCUCAAGGCACACAUCCCUGCUGACCUUCCCCAAGACCAUGGAGAGGCAGCUGAGUCCUUAGUUUGAGGAAGACAGGAUAACAGCCUGUUCCCGCUGCUAGAGGCCAGUGAGAUGGAGAGGCUUGCAGAGGUCACUGAUCAAUGGACUCUCAAGCUCAGCAGUGGUGGCCCAGGACUUUAAUUCUAGGACUCAGAAGGCAGAGGCGGGCAGAGUUCGAGGCCAACCUGGUGGUCUACAGAGCAACGGGACAGCUGGGAGUAUGCAGUGAAACCCUACCUCGAAAAGACAAACAAACAAACGAAAUAUCAUAGAUUCUCCAUCUAUGACACCGCUUGACACCAUCGGGCGGAACGCACAACAGUAAACGCCCCCGCCGCGACCAAUCAGCGAUUGCCGCACACCUCUGCCUUGGCCAAUCCACAGCGAUUUUGCAGUUCCACCCCUUACCUAGGGUGUGCGGAAGCUGGGGCGCCCCGUGCCCAACCUGGGGAGUGUCCAGAGCCUGUUCCUCCCCCAGCACACCCCCGCGGUGUCCUUCAGCUCCAAACUAAGGAAAACAAAUGCCAGCCUCCUCCCUCUGACCCACAUGUCUCAACUCUAUGCCGCCUUACAGCGGCAGCCACUGUCACUAUUGCACUGGCAAAGAGAGCAAAACUCUUCUCCCCUAAGGGCCAAGAAUAAAGCAGGCUCUUUUGCGCCUCCUUCAUUAUCUUCCAGUUGACCCUUUAAUUCUUCCCAGUGAGCAUUUUAAUUAGCACAGAGGUGAAGCGGAAGUGUGCUCCCUGGAGACAGGAGUUGGUGCCUGCUGCGAGGCCUCUGGGAGAUAGAGUUCUUUGGAGUCAAGAAUGCACGUGGACUAUCUGGGGAGGAAGCAAUGCUAGUGUGGAUAGACUCGUGUGAAGAACAGGAAAUAAAUGUCUUCUUUCUGGAU